UACGUAGGCAGCAAGCGUUGUUCGGAAUUACUGGGCGUAAAGAGUGUGUAGGCGGUGCCGUAAGUUCGGUGUGAAAUCUCCUGGCUUAACUGGGAGGGUGCGCCGAAGACUGCGGUGCUCGAGGAUGGGAGAGGAAAGCGGAAUUCCUGGUGUAGCGGUGAAAUGCGUAGAUAUCAGGAGGAACACCUGCGGUGUAGACGGCUUUCUGGACCACCCCUGACGCUGAGACACGAAAGCGUGGGUAGCAAACAGG
rnacentral:rRNA from 1 species